AGACCCCUCUUGCGUUGCUCGGAUUCAUUGGGCGUAAAGGGCGUGUACCUGGCGCGCUCCGUCGGGUGUGAAAUUUCGGAGCUUAACUCCGAAACUGCAUUCGAUACUGGCGUGCUUGAGGACUGGAGAGGACACUGGAAUUUACGGUGUAGCACUGAAAUGCGUAGAUAUCGUAAGGAAGACCAGUGGCGAAGGCGGGUCUCUGGACAGUUCCUGACACUGACACACCAACGCCAGGGGAGCAAACGGGAUUAGAUACCCCGGUAGUCCUGGCAGUAAACGGUGCACGUUUGGUGUGGGAGGAUUCGACCCCUUCUGCGCCGGAGCUAACGCGUUAAACGUGCCGCCUGGGGAGUACGGUCGCAAGAUUA
rnacentral:rRNA from 1 species